GGCAGCAUCGGCUUCUGUCUAGGUCACGCCCACAUGCUGAACUGACUCCGCCGAAAAGCUCGUCUGAGAGGUCAAGCCGGCAAGUUUGGGCCUGCGUUUGAACGGGAAAUGCGGGGACUGUGUUCGAAGAUGAAUAGUCUCCCGGCUUUAAUGGCUGAGCCGGCUGGGAGAGCAAGCCAGCAGAACAAACAUCAAAGGUGGAAAAUAGUAGAGGGAAGAUAACCAAGAAAGAUAACGAAAAGUGAAGGGGUUGAGGAGAAAGCUAAAAGGGGUGCUGAGAGCUAAGAAGGUUUUACUAGUUGAACGAGAAGAGGGAAAUGAAAGGAGAGGGCUAAAAGCAGGUUUGUUUUGUCGCUUUGUUUUUCUUUGUGGUUUGUUGAGUACUAUAAAGAAAUGUGGCUAGGGGUUGAGGAGGGCUCUGUCUAAUAUUCACAGGUUGAAGGAGCUAAAGGUUCACGCAAAUUAUUUCAUCAUACAAGCAGAUCCUGUUUUUUUUUUCAUAUAUAAAGAGAUUUAUUAUGUAAAAAAGAAGAAAAGAUUGGCUUAUGCAGUAUGCUCCUUCAAAAAAAAAAAAAGAUUGGCUUAUGCAUGUAACAUGUACAUUUCCAUCAAAGCUCUCAAGCUGUGUACCAUAUAAAAAUGGAUUUAGGACAGGCAAAGUUGAGGUUUUGGAUGGGAUUGCGCCCUUGUUGCAUAUUUUACAUGAAUUACGUGUAUUAAUUAUAUGCACAUAUUUUACUAA